rnacentral:rRNA from 1 species
CCCUUAGAUGUCCUGGGCCGCACGCGCGCUACACUGAUGCAUUCAACGAGUUUCACCUUGGCCGAGAGGCCUGGGCAAUCUUUUAAACCUGCAUCGUGAUAGGGAUAGAUUAUUGCAAUUAUUAAUCUUGAACGAGGAAUUCCUAGUAAACGCAAAUCAUCAAUUUGCAUUGAUUACGUCCCUGCCCUUUGUACACACCGCCCGUCGCUCCUACUGAUUGGGUGAUCCGGUGAGCUGUUCGGCCAUAGCAAUGUUUCUUGAGCAGGGCAAUGAAUGUUUCGCAAACCUUGCCACUUAGAGGAAGGAGAAGUCGUAACA